GGGCCUCUCCCUGCUCUGGUGUCACAGAGAGGGGGAAAUUUAGGCUCUCACUGCUGUUGUAUCAGUGAGGGCGUAACACUGGGGCUGUCAUUGUUGUGGUGUCCAGAGAGGAUUAAAUUGGAGCUCACACUUCUAUGGUGUCCUAGACAGUGGAACGCUGGGCCUGACAUUGCUGUGGUGUAACAGAGAGGAGGCAAUUUGGGGCUGUCAUUACUGUGAUUCCACAGAGAGGGGAAGAGUCGGGCUGUCACUGCUGUGGUUUCAGCGAGAGAGUGAAAUGGAGGUAGUUAGAGCUGUGAUGUUACAGACAGGGGAAUACUGGGACUCGGAGUGCACUGCUGUCACCGAGAGCGGAACUUUGGGGCUCUCACUGCUGUGGUGUCACAGAGAGAGAAACAGCGGUGCUGUUGCUGCUGUGGUGUCAGAGAGUGGAACACUGGGCCUGACAUUGGUGUGGUUUGACAGAGAGGAGGCAAUUUUGGCUGCCACCGCUCUGGUUUCACAGAGAGGGCAACUUUUUGGCUGUCCCUGCUGUGGUGUCACGGAGACGGGAAUAUUGGAGCUGUCACUGCUGUGGUGUCUGAGAGAGGGAAACACUGGGCCUGUCAUUGCUGUGCAGUCAUGGAGAGGAGCACGUUGGAGCUCACACUGCUAUGAUGUCACAGGUAGGGUAACAGUGGCUCUGACAUUGCUGUGGUGUCCCAGAGAAGAGGAAAUUUGGGCCCUCACUGCUCUGGUGUCACAGAGAGGGGUAAAGUUGGGCUCUAACUGCUAUGGUGUCUCCAACAGGGUAAUCCUGGGCCUAAAAUGGCUGUCGUUUCACAGACAGGAGCAAUUUUGGGCUGUGGCUGCACUGCUGUCCCAGAGAGUGGAACUUUGGGGCUCACACUGCUCUGGUGUCCCAGAGAGGGGAACAUUGGAGCUGUCACUGCUGUGUUGUCACAGAGAGAGGAACUCUGGAGCUCUCCCUGCUCUGGAGUCACGGAGAGGAGGAAAUUGGGCAUGUCACUGCCCUGGUGUCACAGGGAAUGGAAGAGUGGGGCUGUCACUGCCGUGGAGUCCGAGAAAGGAGGAAAUUUGGUGUGUGACUGCUGUGGUGUCACAGCGAGUGGAACUUUGGGGCUCUCACUUCUGUGGUGGAAGAGAUGAAGAAAUAGGUGCUGUCACUGCUAUUGUGGUGUGACGGAGAAGAGGAAAUUUGGGCCUGUCAUUGCUGUGGUGUCACGGAGAGGAGCGCUUUGGAGCUCACACUGCUACGAUGUCACAGAUAGGGUUACACUGGCUCUGACAUUGCUGUGGUGUCACAGAGAGGAGGGAAUUAGGCCUCUCCCUGCUCUGGUGUCACAGAGAGGGGG
rnacentral:lncRNA from 1 species